rnacentral:rRNA from 1 species
UUCCAGUGAACUAACUUUGUUACGACUUACCUCCUCUUUGGAAGAGGGUGACGGGCGAUAUGUACACCUAAAUUCAAAUUCGUUCUUAAUUUUUAUUAAAAAACUACUUCCAAAUCCUCUUUUAUUUUCUCUUUAGAGAAAACUCCUUUAAUAAGUUUAAUGGGUAAUUAGCUCCUUCUUCGUUUAUGAUCUUCACCUUGCCCUGACUUAUUAAAAAUGUUUUGGUAGAAGGUUGAAAUUCUGCCUUUAGACGGCGGUAUAAAAGAGAGAAGCGGAGAGAA